AAGAAAAAGAAAAGCAUUUUAAUGGGAAUCAAUAGAGGAUCAUAGGGGCUUGAAAGGAAAUACGUGUUGAUUAAGAAUGUUGUGCGAGGUUGUUGUUUGCUUUAAAAAUGUACAUGACUUUUUUUUUUUUAAAUUAACCACAAGCAGACGAACGAUAAAUAUGCCAGGAGACAAACGAGGCAGGGCCGCGGAGAGCGCGCGAGGGGUGGCGGUGGGGGGACGACGACGACGACGGGAAUCCCGCUUGGUUGUGCCUCGUCGUGCUUUGGUUUCAGAUAGAGGCAGCCAGCAAACCAAGAGUUUGUGCAACGCUUCCAGGCACAGCGUGUACAUUUAAAGCCGCAUGCCCUGGAAGAGAUCAGAAAUACUUAUUGCAAAACGGAUUGCAAUGAAUGAAUGCAUCUCUUUACUCAAACACCGAUGAAGCAACAUGUGAACAGCUUUAAUUCCUCUCAGUCCGCAAUGUCGUCGGAGUCAUUAAAAGAAAUGACGAUGAGUUUGCACUCUAAUAUUCUUAUAUCUUUCCUCAAAGGCGUUUUGGAAUGACCAGGGCUCUGCUCUUGUCCUAAAGGGAGGUGAGAAAAGAAAGGAAAACUUAAGAAAAAACACCUUUCACCUCUACAGAAGCCUCAAGGAACUGUUUUCAUUUUGAAAGGCCAAAAUAGAUGUCCACAAUACUGCAUCUUAUCCCAAGUAAAAGAAAGAUGAUAAAAUGCCAAAUCCAUUUUUCACAACUGGAAGAAACCAAGGAAGGCAUAUGCAAUCUCUUGUUUUUUAAGUGGCAUGCUAAGUGAUCUGGUGAUCAUGCUAAGUGAUCUAAGAAAUGCCACUAGUAUAAUUAUAAAUAAAAAUUCAUUGUAUUAUUUUUAUGCCUGUAAAUGGAUGAAACAUUCUCCAAACAGAAGCACCUUGCUAUAUUUGUAAAUUCACAGAAUGGGAAUUUAAGCCAUUACAUUUUUAUACCAAUAGAAAACAAAAAGCUGCAGGAAUCUAACCUUUAUCACCAUUCUUUAGGUGUGGAUCUAAACAU